UACGGAGGGUGCAAGCGUUAUCCGGAAUCACUGGGUUUAAAGGGUGCGUAGGCGGCAUUAUAAGUCAGAGGUGAAAGCCCGUCGCUUAACGAUGGAACUGCCUUUGAUACUGUAGUGCUUGAAUCAAGUUGAGGCUGGCGGAAUGUGGCAUGUAGCGGUGAAAUGCAUAGAUAUGCCAUAGAACACCAAUUGCGAAGGCAGCUGGCUGGACUUGAAUUGACGCUGAGGCACGAAAGCGUGGGGAGCGAACAGG
rnacentral:rRNA from 1 species